rnacentral:rRNA from 1 species
UUAAGCGACUAAGCGUACACGGUGGAUGCCCUGGCAGUCAGAGGCGAUGAAGGACGUGCUAAUCUGCGAUAAGCGUCGGUAAGGUGAUAUGAACCGUUAUAACCGGCGAUUUCCGAAUGGGGAAACCCAGUGUGAUUCGUCACACUAUCAUUAACUGAAUCCAUAGGUUAAUGAGGCGAACCGGGGGAACUGAAACAUCUAAGUACCCCGAGGAAAAGAAAUCAACCGAGAUUCCCCCAGUAGCGGCGAGCGAACGGGGAGCAGCCCAGAGCCUGAAUCAGUGUGUGUGUUAGUGGAAGCGUCUGGAAAGGCGCGCGAUACAGGGUGACAGCCCCGUACACAAAAAUGCACAUGCUGUGAGCUCGAUGAGUAGGGCGGGACACGUGGUAUCCUGUCUGAAUAUGGGGGGACCAUCCUCCAAGGCUAAAUACUCCUGACUGACCGAUAGUGAACCAGUACCGUGAGGGAAAGGCGAAAAGAACCCCGGCGAGGGGAGUGAAAAAGAACCUGAAACCGUGUACGUACAAGCAGUGGGAGCCUCUUUAUGGGGUGACUGCGUACCUUUUGUAUAAUGGGUCAGCGACUUAUAUUCUGUAGCAAGGUUAACCGAAUAGGGGAGCCGAAGGGAAACCGAGUCUUAACUGGGCGUUAAGUUGCAGGGUAUAGACCCGAAACCCGGUGAUCUAGCCAUGGGCAGGUUGAAGGUUGGGUAACACUAACUGGAGGACCGAACCGACUAAUGUUGAAAAAUUAGCGGAUGACUUGUGGCUGGGGGUGAAAGGCCAAUCAAACCGGGAGAUAGCUGGUUCUCCCCGAAAGCUAUUUAGGUAGCGCCUCGUGAAUUCAUCUCCGGGGGUAGAGCACUGUUUCGGCAAGGGGGUCAUCCCGACUUACCAACCCGAUGCAAACUGCGAAUACCGGAGAAUGUUAUCACGGGAGACACACGGCGGGUGCUAACGUCCGUCGUGAAGAGGGAAACAACCCAGACCGCCAGCUAAGGUCCCAAAGUCAUGGUUAAGUGGGAAACGAUGUGGGAAGGCCCAGACAGCCAGGAUGUUGGCUUAGAAGCAGCCAUCAUUUAAAGAAAGCGUAAUAGCUCACUGGUCGAGUCGGCCUGCGCGGAAGAUGUAACGGGGCUAAACCAUGCACCGAAGCUGCGGCAGCGACGCUUAUGCGUUGUUGGGUAGGGGAGCGUUCUGUAAGCCUGUGAAGGUGUACUGUGAGGUAUGCUGGAGGUAUCAGAAGUGCGAAUGCUGACAUAAGUAACGAUAAAGCGGGUGAAAAGCCCGCUCGCCGGAAGACCAAGGGUUCCUGUCCAACGUUAAUCGGGGCAGGGUGAGUCGACCCCUAAGGCGAGGCCGAAAGGCGUAGUCGAUGGGAAACAGGUUAAUAUUCCUGUACUUGGUGUUACUGCGAAGGGGGGACGGAGAAGGCUAUGUUGGCCGGGCGACGGUUGUCCCGGUUUAAGCGUGUAGGCUGGUUUUCCAGGCAAAUCCGGAAAAUCAAGGCUGAGGCGUGAUGACGAGGCACUACGGUGCUGAAGCAACAAAUGCCCUGCUUCCAGGAAAAGCCUCUAAGCAUCAGGUAACAUCAAAUCGUACCCCAAACCGACACAGGUGGUCAGGUAGAGAAUACCAAGGCGCUUGAGAGAACUCGGGUGAAGGAACUAGGCAAAAUGGUGCCGUAACUUCGGGAGAAGGCACGCUGAUAUGUAGGUGAAGCGACUUGCUCGUGGAGCUGAAAUCAGUCGAAGAUACCAGCUGGCUGCAACUGUUUAUUAAAAACACAGCACUGUGCAAACACGAAAGUGGACGUAUACGGUGUGACGCCUGCCCGGUGCCGGAAGGUUAAUUGAUGGGGUCAGCGCAAGCGAAGCUCUUGAUCGAAGCCCCGGUAAACGGCGGCCGUAACUAUAACGGUCCUAAGGUAGCGAAAUUCCUUGUCGGGUAAGUUCCGACCUGCACGAAUGGCGUAAUGAUGGCCAGGCUGUCUCCACCCGAGACUCAGUGAAAUUGAACUCGCUGUGAAGAUGCAGUGUACCCGCGGCAAGACGGAAAGACCCCGUGAACCUUUACUAUAGCUUGACACUGAACAUUGAGCCUUGAUGUGUAGGAUAGGUGGGAGGCUUUGAAGUGUGGACGCCAGUCUGCAUGGAGCCGACCUUGAAAUACCACCCUUUAAUGUUUGAUGUUCUAACGUUGACCCGUAAUCCGGGUUGCGGACAGUGUCUGGUGGGUAGUUUGACUGGGGCGGUCUCCUCCUAAAGAGUAACGGAGGAGCACGAAGGUUGGCUAAUCCUGGUCGGACAUCAGGAGGUUAGUGCAAUGGCAUAAGCCAGCUUGACUGCGAGCGUGACGGCGCGAGCAGGUGCGAAAGCAGGUCAUAGUGAUCCGGUGGUUCUGAAUGGAAGGGCCAUCGCUCAACGGAUAAAAGGUACUCCGGGGAUAACAGGCUGAUACCGCCCAAGAGUUCAUAUCGACGGCGGUGUUUGGCACCUCGAUGUCGGCUCAUCACAUCCUGGGGCUGAAGUAGGUCCCAAGGGUAUGGCUGUUCGCCAUUUAAAGUGGUACGCGAGCUGGGUUUAGAACGUCGUGAGACAGUUCGGUCCCUAUCUGCCGUGGGCGCUGGAGAACUGAGGGGGGCUGCUCCUAGUACGAGAGGACCGGAGUGGACGCAUCACUGGUGUUCGGGUUGUCAUGCCAAUGGCACUGCCCGGUAGCUAAAUGCGGAAGAGAUAAGUGCUGAAAGCAUCUAAGCACGAAACUUGCCCCGAGAUGAGUUCUCCCUGACUCCUUGAGAGUCCUGAAGGAACGUUGAAGACGACGACGUUGAUAGGCCGGGUGUGUAAGCGCAGCGAUGCGUUGAGCUAACCGGUACUAAUGAACCGUGAGGCUUAACCU